rnacentral:tRNA from 1 species
GCGGGCAUGGCGGAAUGGCAGACGCGUAUGGCUUAGGACCAUAUGCCGCAAGGCGUGGGGGUUCAAGUCCCUCUGUCCGCA